GACGAACGCUGGCGGCGUGCCUAAUACAUGCAAGUCGAGCGCAGGAAAUCAUCUGAACCCUUCGGGGGGACGUUGAUGGAAUGAGCGGCGGACGGGUGAGUAACACGUAAAGAACCUGCCCUCAGGUCUGGGAUAACCACGAGAAAUCGGGGCUAAUACCGGAUGGGUCAUCGGACCGCAUGGUCCGAGGAUGAAAGGCGCUUCGGCGUCGCCUGGGGAUGGCUUUGCGGUGCAUUAGCUAGUUGGUGGGGUAAUGGCCCACCAAGGCGACGAUGCAUAGCCGACCUGAGAGGGUGAUCGGCCACACUGGGACUGAGACACGGCCCAGACUCCUACGGGAGGCAGCAGUAGGGAAUCUUCCACAAUGGACGAAAGUCUGAUGGAGCAACGCCGCGUGAACGAUGAAGGCCUUCGGGUCGUAAAGUUCUGUUGUAAGGGAAGAACAAGUGCCGCAGGCAAUGGCGGCACCUUGACGGUACCUUACGAGAAAGCCCCGGCUAACUUCGUGCCAGCAGCCGCGGUAAUAC
rnacentral:rRNA from 1 species